AGUGAACGCUGGCGGUAGGCCUAACACAUGCAAGUCGAACGGCAGCACAGUAAGAGCUUGCUCUUACGGGUGGCGAGUGGCGGACGGGUGAGGAAUACAUCGGCAUCUACUUUUUCGUGGGGGAUAACGUAGGGAAACUUACGCUAAUACCGCAUACGACCUACGGGUGAAAGCAGUGGAUCUUCGGACCUUGCGCGAUUGAAUGAGCCGAUGUCGGAUUAGCUAGUUGGCGGGGUAAAGGCCCACCAAGGCGACGAUCCGUAGCUGGUCUGAGAGGAUGAUCAGCCACACUGGAACUGAGACACGGUCCAGACUCCUACGGGAGGCAGCAGUGGGGAAUAUUGGACAAUGGGCGCAAGCCUGAUCCAGCCAUACCGCGUGGGUGAAGAAGGCCUUCGGGUUGUAAAGCCCUUUUGUUGGGAAAGAAAAGCAGCAGGUUAAUACCCCGCUGUUCUGACGGUACCCAAAGAAUAAGCACCGGCUAACUUCGUG
rnacentral:rRNA from 1 species